AAACUCAAGUUGGUUCAGGGAAUUGUCAACAAAGGGACGAGAGACGCGCAACUCCGCUCCGCACUGUGCGCCAGCAUCCCCGGGGCACGGAGGGCGCUGCGGCCCGCCCGGAGACCCCCCCACCCAGGCUGGAUCCGGGCCCUGGGGCCCAGGGAGCGGCUUUAAAGAGUAAGAGCAGCGCACCCGGCUCCCUCCUGCUAAUUAGAUUUCAGAUUCCCCUCUGGCCUCAGUGCUCAUUCCGGGGAAGACACCUGCUGAGAUGUCUUUUUCCCCCUCCCCCAACCAAACCACUCAGGUCCUACCUGCUCUUUCCCGGCUUGAUGCGGGCGUGUUUUCCUGUAUGUAUUUUUUCGUGCGGCCACAAAAAGCAUCAGCUGGGGUUCCCGAAGGUCAGAAAAUGGCUAUUGAUUAAUCUACUAGAAUAGUUGCCGAGAGAAAUAAAAACGACGUAAAAUAGCAGGGAACCUAUAAAUAAAGAAGCCAUAACUGGCUACUUGGAGUUGUUAAACGACUUAGCAUAUGAAAAAAUCGGAAAUGAGGCGCUGGGGAAGGAGCUGGGAUUGGCAGCGGCCUGGGUAAGUCGAGUGGAUCCGGGAAGAGGCCUGGUGUCUUCAGGUGUGGACAAAUCCUCCAAGAUUUAACUUCCAAGAAAACCGGCGGCGGAGCGGGUGGAGGAGGCGAGGAUGUGUGGCCAAUGCACGCGGAGUGCAAGGCCGCCUAGUUGGGAGCCGCAAGAGCCUGCCUGGUGUGGCAGGCACACGGAACCCAAUCCCUGUCUGUCCGCUGCGGCCUGGGAGGGGAGCGCCGGCCUCACCAGAGGAAGGAGCACGAGGGGAGGAGUUCCGAGAGGAAAUAAUUAGUGAAAUAUUUGCAGAAGAUGCUGGGAUGUGGAUUUAAUUCCGGAUGGACAGUGGUGCUUCUGAUUCCCUCAGUCUGUUUCCCCACCCACGAUCUCCUCUUUCCUUGGCCUAGACACACCAAAAAUAAUUCAAUAAAAUAAAAAUAAAAAUUUAAAAAUC
rnacentral:lncRNA from 1 species